rnacentral:rRNA from 1 species
UCCCCUUCGGGGGAUAAGUAAAGUGGCGCACGGGUGAGUAACACGUAGGUAAUCUACCUUCGGGUGGGGAAUAACCCAGGGAAACUUGGGCUAACACCGCAUAAUGCAGCGGCACCACAUGGUGACAGUUGUUAAAGCGGGGGAUUUUAGGACCUCGCGCCUGAAGAGGAGCCUGCGGCGGAUUAGCUAGUUGGUGAGGUAACGGCUCACCAAGGUAACGAUCCGUAGCCGGCCUGAGAGGGCGGUCGGCCACACUGACACUGACAUACGGGUCAGACUCCUACGGGAGGCAGCAGUCGGGAAUUUUGGGCAAUGGGCGAAAGCCUGACCCAGCAACGCCGCGUGAAGGAUGAAAUCCCUCGGGAUGUAAACUUCGCAAGAAUGGGAAGAAUUAGUAGGGGUUAAUACCCCCUAUGAUGACGGUACCAUUUGUAAGCUCCGGCUAACUCCGUGCCAGCAGCCGCGGUAAUACGGGGGGAGCAAGCGUUGUUCGGAUUUACUGGGCGUAAAGGGCGCGUAGGCGGUCAGCACAAGUCAGUUGUGAAAUCUCCGGGCUUAACCCGGAACGGUCAACUGAUACUGUGCGACUAGAGUGCGGAAGGGGCAACUGGAAUUCUCGGUGUAGCGGUGAAAUGCGUAGAUAUCGAGAGGAACACCUGCGGCGAAGGCGGGUUGCUGGGCCGACACUGACGCUGAUGCGCGAAAGCCAGGGGAGCGAACGGGAUUAGAUACCCCGGUAGUCCUGGCCUUAAACGAUGGAUGCUUGGUGUCUGGGGUUUUAUAGUCCCCGGGUGCCGCAGCUAACGCGUUAAGCAU